rnacentral:rRNA from 1 species
GCCUACGGGGGGCAGCAGUGGGGAAUAUUGCACAAUGGGGGAAACCCUGAUGCAGCGACGCCGCGUGAAGGACGAAGUAUUUCGGUACGUAAACUUCUAUCCGCAGGGAAGAAAAUGACGGUACCUGACCAAGAAGCCCCGGCUAACUACGUGCCAGCAGCCGCGGUAAUACGUAGGUGGCGAGCGUUAUCCGGAAUGAUUGGGCGUAAAGGGUGCGUAGGCGGCCUGCUAAGUCUGGAGUGAUAGGUACCGGCUCAACCGGUAGA